rnacentral:snoRNA from 1 species
CAGCGUACGCGGGCGUGGCGCGGCGCUGAUGCCGACAACGUAUGGGGCGGCGGCGGAGCGCCGUGCCGGGGUGU